rnacentral:rRNA from 1 species
CAGGCCUAACACAUGCAAGUCGAGCGCGAAUGGAGCAAUCCUAGUAGAGCGGCGCACGGGUGCGUAACACGUGGAUAAUCUGCCUGAGUGUCUGGGAUAACCAGUCGAAAGACUGGCUAAUACCGGAUAAGCCCCCAGGAACUUCGGUUCUCGAGGGAAAAGAUGGCCUCUGUAUACAAGCUAUCCCACUCAGAUGAGUCCGCGGCCCAUCAGCUAGUUGGCGGGGUAAUGGCCCACCAAGGCGACGACGGGUAGCUGGUCUGAGAGGACGAUCAGCCACACUGGAACUGAGACACGGUCCAGACUCCUACGGGAGGCAGCAGUGGGGAAUUUUGCGCAAUGGGCGAAAGCCUGACGCAGCAACGCCGCGUGUGUGAUGAAGGUCUUUGGAUUGUAAAGCACUUUCGACCGGGACGAAAACCCCUUGGCUAACAUCCAAGGGCUUGACGGUACCGGGAGAAGAAGCACCGGCUAACUCUGUGCCAGCAGCCGCGGUAAU